GAUGAACGCUGGCGGCGUGCCUAAUACAUGCAAGUCGAGCGAACAGACGAGGAGCUUGCUCCUCUGACGUUAGCGGCGGACGGGUGAGUAACACGUGGAUAACCUACCUAUAAGACUGGGAUAACUUCGGGAAACCGGAGCUAAUACCGGAUAAUAUAUUGAACCGCAUGGUUCAAUAGUGAAAGACGGUUUUGCUGUCACUUAUAGAUGGAUCCGCGCCGCAUUAGCUAGUUGGUAAGGUAACGGCUUACCUAGGCGACGAUGCGUAGCCGACCUGAGAGGGUGAUCGGCCACACUGGAACUGAGACACGGUCCAGACUCCUACGGGAGGCAGCAGUAGGGAAUCUUCCGCAAUGGGCGAAAGCCUGACGGAGCAACGCCGCGUGAGUGAUGAAGGUCUUCGGAUCGUAAAACUCUGUUAUUAGGGAAGAACAAAUGUGUAAGUAACUAUGCACGUCUUGACGGUACCUAAUCAGAAAGCCACGGCUAACUACGUG
rnacentral:rRNA from 1 species